UGGCGAUGCAAAUCCAAUAAACUCUGGAGUCUGGAAGCUUCAUUGACGCUUGAACUAAAUCGUCGAUUGAAUCUACUGAGAAACUCGAAUCCCUUUGAUCAUCUCUGACGAAUCUAAAGCUCAAAAUCACAGUAACAGGUUCUAACACAUUUUUUCAUUCAAGCCAAGAAACAGUUAUUUCAAUGGAAGCUAAAGAAAUUGUAUGCUGCAUCCCCGCAAAGAACGUUAUACCGAAACUCACACAACAAGAAACAGUUAUUUCAAUGGAAGCUAAAGAAAUUGUAUGCUGCAUCCCCGCAAAGAACGUUAUACCGAAACUCACACAACAAGGUGAGAAAGAUCAAGGAAGUGAUGUGGAUGGUGAUGUGAAGGAGAUAACAAAGCUAGAGUAUAGAAAUUCUCUUGCUCAUCGAGACAACUUAAUACGAAUCGAGGAAGACAAAGAAGACAUUGAUCCACUGUUCAAGAGAUGUUUCCGAAACCUCCAAAACAAUGCACUCAACUCCACUCCUAUGAAACGCCCAAAAGUAGAAAAGGAGGGUCCUCACGAGGCAACGCUCCUUGAAGAAUAAUGGCGUGGUAGCAACCACUCUUAGAGUUCAUGUUAUGUUUAGACUUUGUUAACUUUAAAACUUUAUGUAAUAUGAUAUUUUAUGA